GGCGACGUAGCUCAGUGGUAGAGCGAGCGUCUCAUAAGCGCUAUGUCGAAGGUUCGAUUCCUUCCGUCGCCA
rnacentral:tRNA from 1 species